CCUACGGGGGGCUGCAGUGGGGAAUAUUGGACAAUGGGGGCAACCCUGAUCCAGCCAUGCCGCGUGUGUGAAGAAGGCCCUCGGGUUGUAAAGCACUUUCAGUGAGGAAGAACGCCUGGUGGUUAAUACCCAUCAGGAAAGACAUCACUCACAGAAGAAGCACCGGCUAACUCCGUGCCAGCAGCCGCGGUAAUACGGAGGGUGCGAGCGUUAAUCGGAAUUACUGGGCGUAAAGCGCGCGUAGGUGGCUUGAUAAGCCGGUUGUGAAAGCCCCGGGCUCAACCUGGGAACGGCAUCCGGAACUGUCAAGCUAGAGUGCAGGAGAGGAAGGUGGAAUUCGCGGUGUAGAGGUGAAAUGCGUAGAGAUCGGGAGGAAUACCAGUGGCGAAGGCGGCCUUCUGGACUGACACUGACACUGAGGUGCGAAAGCGUGGGUAGCAAACAGGAUUAGAUACCCCGGUAGUC
rnacentral:rRNA from 1 species